AGGUUAAGUUAACAAGGGCGCAUGGUGAAUGCCUUGGCACUAGGAGCCGAUGAAGGACGGGACUAACACCGAUAUGCUUCGGGGAGCUGUACGUAAGCUAUGAUCCGGAGAUUUCCGAAUGGGGCAACCCAGCAGUUUUAAUCAACUGUUACCACUAGAUGAAUUCAUAGUCUAGUUGGAGGUAAACGCUGUGAACUGAAACAUCUCAUUAGCAGCAGGAAUAUAAAGAAAUUUCGAUUCCCUAAGUAGCGGCGAGCGAACGGGGAACAGCCCAAACCAAAGUGCUUGCACUUUGGGGUUGUAGGACUGAACAUUUGAGUUACCAAAGAACUUGAUAGUCGAAGGAUUUGGGAAAAUCCGCCAUAGAUGGUGAUAGCCCAGUAGAUUAAAUCAAAUUCUCUCAGUUCAGGAUCCUGAGUACGGCGGAACACGUGAAAUUCCGUCGGAAUCCGGGAGGACCAUCUCCCAAGGCUAAAUACUACCUAGUGACCGAUAGUGAACCAGUACCGUGAGGGAAAGGUGAAAAGCACCCCGGGAGGGGAGUGAAAUAGUUCCUGAAACCAUGUGCCUACAAUAAGUCAGAGCGCGUUAAUGCGUGAUGGCGUGCCUUUUGUAGAAUGAACCGGCGAGUUAUGAUCCCGUGCAAGGUUAAGACUAAAAAGUCGGAGCCGUAGCGAAAGCGAGUCUGAAAUGGGCGUUUUGAGUACGAGGUUAUAGACCCGAAACCAGGUGACCUAUCCAUGUCCAGGUUGAAGGUGCGGUAAAACGCACUGGAGGACCGAACCCGUGUAAGUUGAAAAUUGCUGGGAUGAGGUGUGGAUAGCGGUGAAAUUCCAAACGAACUUGGAGAUAGCUGGUUCUCUCCGAAAUAGCUUUAGGGCUAGCCUCGGAAUUAGGAUCAUGGAGGUAGAGCACUAUUUGGACUAGGGGCCCGUCUUGGGUUACUGAAUUCAGAUAAACUCCGAAUGCCAUUGAUUCAUAUCCGGGAGUCAGACGAUGAGUGAUAAGAUCCACCGUCGAAAGGGGAACAGCCCAGACCAUCAGUUAAGGUCCCUAAAUGUAUGCUAAGUGGAAAAGGAUGUGGAGUUGCAUAGACAACUAGGAUGUUGGCUCAGAAGCAGCCACCAUUUAAAGAGUGCGUAAUAGCUCACUAGUCGAGUGAUCCUGCGCCGAAAAUGUACCGGGGCUAAGCAUACUACCGAAACCAUGGAUGCGACCAUUAGGUCGCGUGAUAGGAGAGCGUUCUAAGGGCGGUGAAGCAAGAUCGUGAGGACUUGUGGAGCGCUUAGAAGUGAGAAUGCCGGUAUGAGUAGCGAAAGAUAGGUGAGAAUCCUAUCCACCGAAUGACUAAGGUUUCCUGGGGAAGGCUCGUCCUCCCAGGGUUAGUCGGGACCUAAGUCGAGGCCGAGAAGCGUAGACGAUGGAUAACAGGUUGAGAUUCCUGUACUAGUUAAGUGCGUUUGAGCAAUGGAGGGACGCAGGAGGCUAAGAUGUGCAUUCUGUUGGAUUAGAAUGUCCAAGCAGUAAGUCUUGUGAAGAGUCAAAUGCUUUUCACUUUAAGGACAAGCUGUGAUGGGGAGCGAAAUUUAGUAGCGAAGCGUCUGAUGUCACACUGCCGAGAAAAGCUUCUAGUGAGUACUUAACUACCCGUACCGCAAACCGACACAGGUAGUCGAGGAGAGAAUCCUAAGGUGAGCGAGUGAACUCUCGUUAAGGAACUCGGCAAAAUGACCCCGUAACUUCGGGAGAAGGGGUGCUGAUCGCAAGAUCAGCCGCAGUGAAUAGGCCCAGGCGACUGUUUAUCAAAAACACAGGUCUCUGCAAAAUCGUAAGAUGACGUAUAGGGGCUGACGCCUGCCCGGUGCUGGAAGGUUAAAAGGAUGGGUUAGCUUCGGCGAAGCUCAGAAUUGAAGCCCCAGUAAACGGCGGCCGUAACUAUAACGGUCCUAAGGUAGCGAAAUUCCUUGUCGGGUAAGUUCCGACCCGCACGAAAGGCGUAACGAUCUGGGCACUGUCUCAACGAGAGACUCGGUGAAAUUAUAUUGUCCGUGAAGAUGCGGACUACCCGCGACAGGACGGAAAGACCCCAUGGAGCUUUACUGUAGCUUGAUAUUGAGUGUUUGUACAGCUUGUACAGGAUAGGUAGGAGCCAUAGAAACCGGAACGCUAGUUUCGGUGGAGGCGUUGGUGGGAUACUACCCUCGCUGUAUGACCACUCUAACCCGCACCACUAAUCGUGGUGGGAGACAGUGUCAGGUGGGCAGUUUGACUGGGGCGGUCGCCUCCUAAAAAGUAACGGAGGCGCCCAAAGGUUCCCUCAGAAUGGUUGGAAAUCAUUCGCAGAGUGUAAAGGCACAAGGGAGCUUGACUGCGAGACAGACAGGUCGAGCAGGGACGAAAGUCGGGCUUAGUGAUCCGGUGGUACCGUAUGGAAGGGCCAUCGCUCAACGGAUAAAAGCUACCCUGGGGAUAACAGGCUUAUCUCCCCCAAGAGUCCACAUCGACGGGGAGGUUUGGCACCUCGAUGUCGGCUCAUCGCAUCCUGGGGCUGUAGUCGGUCCCAAGGGUUGGGCUGUUCGCCCAUUAAAGCGGUACGCGAGCUGGGUUCAGAACGUCGUGAGACAGUUCGGUCCCUAUCCGUCGCGGGCGUAGGAAAUUUGAGAGGACCUGUCCUUAGUACGAGAGGACCGGGAUGGACAUACCUCUGGUGUACCAGUUGUGCCGCCAGGCGCAUCGCUGGGUAGCUACGUAUGGAUGUGAUAAACGCUGAAAGCAUCUAAGUGUGAAACACACCUCGAGAUGAGAUUUCCCAUUCCUUUAUGGAAGUAAGACCCCUGAAAGAUGAUCAGGUAGAUAGGUUAGAAGUGGCAGUGCGGUGACGCAUGAAGCGGACUAAUACUAAUCGGUCGAGGACUUAACCAAG
rnacentral:rRNA from 1 species